UACGAAGGGGGGCUAGCGUUGCUCGGAAUUACUGGGCGUAAAGCGCACGUAGGCGGAUCUUUAAGUCAGGGGUGAAAUCCUGGAGCUCAACUCCAGAACUGCCUUUGAUACUGAGGACCUUGAGUUCGGGAGAGGUGAGUGGAACUGCGAGUGUAGAGGUGAAAUUCGUAGAUAUUCGCAAGAACACCAGUGGCGAAGGCGGCAUCCUGGACCGGCAUUGACGCUGAGGCGCGAAAGCCAGGGGAGCAAAGCGGG
rnacentral:rRNA from 1 species